UUUGUUUUUUUCUCCCUUCCCUCCAUUUUUUCUCUCGUUGAUUUUAGGCCCUAAACUACGUCGUUUCGGGGGCAAUUAACACUGUAUCCCACUUUCCCAAUUCAUUUUGCAAGAGCCCUAACUCCUUCAGCCACUCUCUCUCCUUCCAUCACUGGUCUGGCUCUUUCGUCACCGGUCAUCACAGCUCUCUCUCCUUCCAUCACCGGUCAUUAUAACAAUCUUGUAAUUCAUUUUGUUUUCCAUCACAGCUCUCUCUCCUUCCAUCACCGGUCAUCACAACUCUCUCUCCUUCCAUCACCGGUUAGCGUUCCAAAACCAGAAUUUUAAUCAGAAACCAAGGCUCUAAAACUGGUGGCUUGGUUGAGAGAGACAAAGUCAUUGCUACUGCACACAUAGAGAGAGAAAGAGUCGUUGUUAGGGGUUUCCAAAACCUCGUCUACACUAAUAGAUCAGACGAGAAUUUUUUUAGAGUCGGCAGACGACUCUCUUCACGAAAGCCCUAGCUCCUUGCCCCCGACCACUGGACAUCGCGAAAGCCUUGGAUAGCUCCUUGCCUCCUCCUUACAGCUUUUUGAAGUCUAAACAAGAAACCUAUUUCGCUAGCUAUGGUUGAACGGACAAGGAUGACAUCCAGUUACACAGUAGUCUAUUUCCUCCAUUUUUUUAAGUAAAAGUACAUCCCAACAUUUUCGUAAGGUGUAUCCCAACAUUUUCCGACUAUGCAUCCCAAUAUUUUCCUACUAUGCAUCCCAAAUAUGGGUGACGUGGCUAUUUCUGAACCACUCAUUUCAAAAUGGAGUAAAUGACACACUAUUUCACUUGAGGAAAGCAUAAAAGAUCUUCAAAAAAGUUACUUUGACUCGACUAUUGGCAGUUCCAAUGAUUUGUUCUCUGUUGUGAGGGGAGAAGAGAACUGGUUGUGUGCAGAUGCUUGGUUUGGGGCCUACACGAAGCGAUGUUUAGGGCCCUCUCAUAGUAAAGCUGAACUGAUUAAUAAUGUCAAAAAAUCUGAUGAGGAGGCACGUGCUACACGUGUAGAGUUGCAGGAGACCAUUUCAAAAAUGUAAGCUGACUAUGACGACAAGUUGGAAAAUUUACAAGCCAACUAUAUGACAAGUUGGAAAAUUUAUAACAACAAGUGGCUAUGCGAAUAUAGAUGCAACAACAAAAUUGUAGUGGACAUGUAUAUUUAUUAUUAGUUUUACUCUUUAUUAAAUAUACGUUUACUUAUGCCAAGAUUUUAUGUAUUUUGUUUUGUUAUUUUGAAGGGUUUUGAUUCUUUAAAUGCUCCUAAAGUAUCUCCAAAUUCAUUUUCUAGUCAUGAUGCCAAUUUAGUUAAGGUUAUGAACUUUUAAUUUCUCUUAUAUGUUAAAUUUUCAUUUAUUAUAAUGUGCGCUUAAUGAAUUUAUAAAAAAUAUAGGGUAAUUCAAUUCAAAUGGGCAAGAAGAGUUGUUGAAGUUGAAGUGGAAGAUGGGGUCGUGGCUGUGCUUUCUAAAUUUCCUUCGCCUUGGAUGGGUUCUUUUUGAAAAUCUUGUACUACAUUUGUCAAAAAUUCUUAAUUCUUUUUGUGUGACAUUUAGUAGUUUUAUCUAGACAAUUUGGAUAGUAUUUUCACAUUGGCAAGUUAACUUAUGGUUGUAUUAGUAGACAUUUUGCCUUUUUGGUUGACAUUUACCAGCUUUAUCUAUUAGUAGACAAUUUCGAUGGUAUUUUUCAUAUUGGCUGUAUUAUGUAAAAACAAUUUGGAUGGUACUUUCAUAUUGCCAACUUGUGUUAUAUUGGAUGACAUUUAGCAGCCGUAAAGAUAUUUUUCCAAAAACAAUAAAGGGAAAAGAAAAAAAAAAAAAAAAAAACAUAAAAUAACACUUUAGCAGCGCUUUUUUAAGAAGUGCUAGUAUAAGGUUUUUACCAGCGCUCUAGUGCUUUUGAAAAAGCACUGGUAAAGGCCUACCGA